AUUGUCACCUGGACCUUCGGAUAAGCAACAGCGUCCCCUAGUGUUACAAAUUGUGUACCUCAGAUGUCGCAAUGUACUGUUAUUGGCAUCCUUUUUACGGCAAACGCCGAUCAAUGUAAUUUUGAUCUAGCAGCAGGUUAGGGGUCUUCAGAGCUGGUGAAAUUGAACUCAACAGGUUCCGAGGACCAUUAUGCAGAUCCAAAAAGAGGCAGACAAAACUGUCUUUGUGGCUAAUUUAGGCAGUUCAGCUAAUGAGGAAAUUAUUUUCGAGCUAUUUUUGCAGGCUGGGCCACUGAAGAAGGUCACCAUCGCCCGAGACCGCGAGGGUCGCCAAAGGUCAUAUGGGUUUGUGUAUUACAAGCAUGCUGAAGCUGUACCCUAUGCCAUUGCCUUGCUGAAUGGCACUUGGCUCUUUGGCCGUCAAAUCAGGCUGCAGUACGGCACCGGUAGGCCAGUGUUUUGUAUCAUCAUUAAGAAUUGCAGCUUUCAACUCACACAUUUGGACUUAUGAAGUUUGCAGAGCAGCAAUUUAGCAUCAGGACAUUUCCAAAACCUAUUCAUUCAUAAUUUGCUCUGUACAUGAAGCAGGUUGUGUUCUUAAAGUAACUGUUGUUUUAGCUACUUAGGGAUAUUAGUGCCUUGUAGAUAGGUAGGGUGGUGGUUUUUAGGCCCUCCCCCUUGCCCCCCUGUAGGUAGCUCCCACCAGGAUGGAGGAUCUGGACCUCAAGGCACAGAGGAUGACCGUGAUGACCCUUCACAUGACACACCCAGUAUGAACGUAGGCCUCCCAGAGUCAUCUGUGUUCCACUUCACAGGGCGUGCUGAUGGCAGCGUCUCCUGCCAGGACAAGUUACACUGGAGCAACAUGGUGCGUGGCUACCCUUCUGAGCAGUACCCUCUGAGUAUCACCCCUCCCCAGCCUCACUACUAUGUCCCUCCGUCACCCUUGUGUCCCCCUAUUGCCCCCCUGCUGCCCUGGUCAAUGCCAGGAUAUCCCCAAUGGGCCCUUACACGACCCCCCUGUCCCAGCCAGGGUCAGGCCCUCCUGCUCCCCCUGCCUCCCAGCUCUACCCAGCCCAGCAAGCAGACAGCUCACCAAAGUGAAGGGCCUAAGAGGCAGACAGCUCAGCAAGGAGAAGUGGAGACUGCGAAGCUACGCAAACACCGACGAAGCAGGGAGAGCAGACUGCAGAGGCACAGGAACAGAUGCAAAAAGUGAACACAUACACUCAAAUAAACAAUUAGCAUUGGUCAUCAAGUUUAAACGUGUAGCAUAUGCUAAUAUACUAAGAUGUCCACAAGCUGUGUGGUUGUGAGGAUGGUCAUUUUCUCAGCUUUACAAAUGCACAAACACUAUACAACCAUUAAAGACCGGCUGCUCUUAAAUAUAGCCCACAGUAUUCCUUUGAAUAUUCCUGUACAAAUAUAUGUAUAUAUCUGUUUACGCAGUUUUGUUUCAUAUGCCUCUGACUGUUUUUCUGUUUCAUCGUCUGGUGUGUUUACACCAAAUAAAUAGCACAUUUCCUAAAGGAACUUAAAUGUUUGGCAAUUUU
ensembl:lncRNA